rnacentral:lncRNA from 1 species
CUGGGUUCAUCUCAGGGAGCCGUUACUACGCCAGAGCUUGGUCUUACCGCUACUUGAGCUUGUAACGUACCAGUUUUUCCAAUGGAAUUAUCACAUUGUGUUACUACUUAUUUGCAUGUUCCUACUGCCCUGUUAAUCUAGGAAAUUCUCAAGGGCAGUAACUAUUUAUUAUUAACUUUGGAAUCCCUCAUUCUUGGCACGUUACUUGAAAAUAUUCAUGGAUUUACCUUCUGCUUAUCUUAAUUACCCGAGACGCAAAGAUCGGGAAACCACGCGACACUGGACAGCUUGAUGUUUUCCUAGCAGCACGUGGGAUGAUCCCAGCACGCAGAGAAGGAGCCUGUGCCCGAGGACGCCUGCGGCUGAGCUCAGUGCCCCUCUCCCCACAGCGAGUCUGUUCUCACGGGGUCCCCUCCCCCCACGUGAGCCCCGGAGCCUCCUGCCAGCGCUGACCAAAGUGCACAUGGGCAGCUUGGCCCUUGGCCCUCCCAGCGACAGUUUGCUUUGGCUUGUUGUGGUUUCUCUCUUUUGCCGCUCACUUCUAUCAACACCCUUAUUUCUUGGGAGGCACUUUGCAAGAGACCCGAAGGCAGACAAGCGCCCUGACUCCACGAGCUUACAGCCUGAGCGCGGAGACCCCUCACAGGGGACAGCUCUUCAAAGCAGCAAAAAUCCAUUAUAACGGAGGUAGGAACAAGGUGCUAUGGAGCAGAGGGAGGAGAAAAUGGAGUCUGUCUGGGGAGGUCUCGAGGCUUUGGAAAAGCGGGAAUAUUUGAGUUGGGUCUUGAAGAUGUGACUGUGGGGAGCGUUCCUGUAGGCAGGCGGAGGGCAGGCGCGUCAGCAAGGCAUGUUAGCAGCCCAAGUAGGGUGAACAGGUGUUCACACGGGUGGAGGGCAUAGUGGAGGGAAGAUGGAGAUGACAGGCUGGGGUCGUAUGGAGGAGCACCUCGCAGGCGGCGCCGAGGCUCUGAAGACCGUCAGCAGGGGAGUGGCGUGAUUAACCCUGUGCUUGACACAGGGCCAGCCAGGAGGCCGGAGAGAGUGAGGGACCAUGGCAAUAGUCCAGGCCAGGAGAGCUAAUGAGGUCGCCACUAGGGCAGUGUCUGUGGCAAGGAGAGCUGAACGUGUUGCGAGUUCUGCAAAAGCUGAGACCCACUGUGCAGAAAGGGAGAGCCAUCGUGGAGCCGCCCAGCAAACGCUCGAAGACGCGAUCGUGCUCCCCACACUGCGGACUGUUGAGUGGCGUGGUUUCCUCGUCAGACCCAUUGCUCACACGUUUAGUAAUACCAUGGGCCAGGGCGUGUGUGUGAAAACGGCAUGCACAUGCCCAAGGCCAGUGGGGACAAGAGAGGACAAACUUGCCUGCCCUGGGGUUCUCUUCUCUUCUCUUCUUCACGGGGCUGGAGGCUCAUUUGCUGGGUCCCAUGGAGGAAGGACACCAGACAUCCGCCUUCUGUCUACACCCCACAGAAACCCAGACAGAGCAACCUAUGCUUCGGUCAUGAAAGAGGGGAGAACUUUACUUCUUCCGUGAUUAAAUUAGAUGCAAAAGAUAUGAUUAAUUAUCAGUUGGAGAUUCAUUUUCCCUCUCUCCGAAGAGAUUGCCUUCUGGGAAGUAUGGAAUUAUCCUGGCACUAAGGCAGCUCUGAGAACCCAAGAGCGGGAGAGUUGCAGAGCAGACGCCACAGCAGCUCCUGGCUGUAUGCCCCACAGGCCGCCUGGCAAGCUGGGGUUCUGGCCGAGCCUUGGUGGGCCUCGGCUCCUGUAAUGAAUUCAGUUAGAAGCUCUCGUAGUAAAACUGGCCUCUCUUUUCCAAGGGGAGCAACAGGCUUCGUGUAUGACUCUAUUUGUCCCCAGUUGCUGAAAAUACUCACUACUGCUCCUCAUGUGUAAGACAAGGGUUAGGCUGCCUCAGCAGGGUUCAGCUGCAGAGAACAAAUCCACUGUAGCUUAGUUUUAGCAGGAAGAGAUUUAUUACAAGAUUUUCAGCAGCUUGCAGCAUGAUGUAAGAGGUGAGGAAACACACUCGAGGUUCAGCAAUGACUCCUAAAGCCACACCUCAGAGCUGGGCCACCGAGGAAGCUGCGGCCUCUCCUCCGACUUGGAAGCUUCCGUGGUGGCCUGGAUCUGACCUCUUUUCUGCCUCCAUCAGCCCUGAGACCAUAACUUCUCUCCUGGUUCCGUACCUGAACCACACUGUUGCAGUCCGCUGCAGUAAACAGAUGCCCUAGAGCCCACGUAGUCACUCUCUCCCAGCCACUGGUUAGUCUUGGGCCCUCUGCCGAACAGACACCCCCCACAACUGUGCCUGCCAGAGCAGCCAGGCGGAGCCCACACCUCGCUUAGGUUCCAGAGCCCACCCACGGGUGUCAAUCAGCUGAAUAGAAACUAGACUCAGGUCCCUAACUGCAACGAGGCUGCAAAUGGAAAAUCUCACAUUCAGGUUCCGCAGUGCUGGCAGGACAGUGCCGCACACCAGGCCGUGUCCCCACACAGUCCACCGUGAGAUGGGGAGAGAAUAAGACGCUCAGACCUGUUCCCAGACUUAAGAACCAAGGACGUCCUGUCUCGCCAUGAUUCCUUCCCCAGCAUUUGGUCUGGACAAUCUGGUCCUCUCUCCAUCUCACGCAGGGUGUGUAAUGGGACAUCUGUCUUCUGUCCUAUCAGGCACCCGGCUGCGUUCCCUCCCACUUCCUCUACUCAUGAAAGUCUUGCCCAGCCUUCAAAACACAGUUCAGGUCUUCAGUGAAGGCUUCAGCUGCUCUGUCCUCGUGCAGUCUCUCUCCCUGGGCACUGUCCCUUAUGGUCUCCUCCAAGCCACUUAGCAUGUAUGUAACCUCGUGUGUCAGGCUGUUGAUCACCGGGAAAGUGCUUUCUGAAUAAUGAUCCUGACUCUCCAAUUAGAUGGAGAGCUCCUGUGGGAAGAGCUGGGACCAGGUCGCCUGCUCUUCUUAUAUUCCUAACAGUUUCAUAGCUCAGUGCUGAAAGCAGAAAAGCCAUUCAAUUCCUAGGCUCAGAAAAGUCUAUUUCCUACAUCAUAGGAGGGGAUGAUGAUGGCAGCCCUGCUUCCCUGUGUGUGUGUGUGUGGUUGGACUCAAGAUCAAAAAGGUUAAUGUACAGAAAAGGCACUGUGGUCUUUCCUGUUACUGCUACUGAACAGAAUCUGCUCUUAUUACCAAAUCACACUGCAAAUGAGCCUAAGAACGUGGCCGACAAAGCUCGGGUCUUGGGUCUUCCCUUCAGGGCUCCUCUGCCCUGUGGAGACACAACCAGUCUGCCCGUCUCAGGUAAGUAGCUAAAGUGAAGCAUGAAAACGGAAGACAGAAGAUGAGGUACCUAACAUGUGGUUUGGGCUUACUGCAGGAAUUAAUUAUAGUCGGCUCAAACGCAAACUUCUCACUUCCACCCUUCUCCAAAACAAACAGAGUUGGGUAAGCAGGCCAUCCCUGAAGACUUUGAAGCUAAGUUCUCCCCGUCUGAGGAGGGUUGCACGGCAGCCACAAAGGUGGUUAGUCUUGGUGGAAAUGGUCCUGACUGCUCACAAAAGCCAAAGGACCCUAUGGGCUUUGGUCCUCUCAGUUACUCUCCAGGCUAGUUGCAUAUAUAGUUCAGCCAUAUGUGAGGGGGGUGAAUGGUGGCUUCAAGCAAGAGAGAAAAGAAAACAUUAGGAGGUAUUCAAUAUUUCCCCUAGAUCACUCUCCUCACUCCUGAGAAAAGAAAAAGAAGACAAACUGAGUUUUGAUGAGUUUUGUGUCUCUAUCUCCAACAUAAACCCAAAUUCACUCAAAAUCUUUUAAAUCUGCUCUGCAUUUUCAACGGAAAAUAUUUUCCCCAGAGAAGUUGAUGCGAAGUUGCUUAAGAAAGUACGACUGAAAUACACAGAAUGAAAGUUCACGGUUAACGUUGAGAGCAUGUCGGGUAAGACAACUGAGAUGACAUUGCAUCUCAGUCGGGGUUCUCACUGCUGACAAGUCAGGUACCCCAACCACAAGCCCUUUUUCCAUUUCUCUCAUCACUGAUUUACAUUUAGGAGGACAAAAUUGUGACUCCUCAUGAAUUUGAGCUAGAACAGCCAAGCUUUCUUAAAUCUUUCUAUUAAUUGGUCAUUCCUGACUUUUCUAUGCAAAUUCUUAUUUGUAGUAAAUAGCAUCACGGUUUUUCCCACCCCUUGUGUGAUUAAUUGCAGCAAAAUAUUAUGAACCACCAUAUCAGUGGCUCUGAGUAUCAAAAUGCGAAGGACAGGCAGUGACCAGAAAGCUAUUGUCAAUAAUGUUUGAACAGCUGUCCCAAGAAACAACUCUGGCUCAGGAGAUGACAUUUUUUUACAGAAAUGAUAAGGGAGGCUUCAUGGUCCACUCAGUUUUAGUGUUUGGGGUAGAAGAGUGAUCCUUGAGGCGACAUAGGUUUUGGUGGUAUAACAGCUGGAUCCGAAGUUAGCAAGAGGGAGGCCAUCUUAGAGAAAGAAGCAACAUUGUAACUCUGCCUCUGACUCACUGGUGUCUGUGGAUACAUUCUAGCCUGCACGUAGCACCGAUGAUUAAGCACCUCUUACUUUAACAAAAUACAUCAUCUGCUAGUCCUAUGACUCUUGCUUACUUAUAUUUCCUAACUGUGAUAAGACAAUAACUUUGUUCUCUGAGUUCCCCAGGAACAUGACGACCUCCAUAAAGAAAAUUCUGCUUUGGUGUCCAUCAAAAAUGACAGAAGAAAGAGGUCCUUCUAGUUGUGGCAUGUGGGACGCCGCCUCAGCAUGGCCUGAUGAGCGGUGCCAUGUCUGUGCCCAGGAUCUGAACUGGCGAAACCCUGGGCCGCCGCAGACUGGCUAUUUCUUAUAAAGUUACACACAAACUUACAAUAUGACUCAACAAUUCCUUUUUUAAAAAUAGAAAUAAAAACAUAUUUUCACAAAAAGACUUGCACACAAACAUUCAUAGAAGCUUUACUCAAAAAAAGCCAAAACAUAGCAGAAAAAAAAAGAAGUAUUUUUUGUUUUUGUUGAUGGACGAGCAGGUGUCCAUAUGGUGGAAACUUUAUCUACUGCUCAGCAAUAAAAGAAUGAACUCCUGACACACACAAAAGCAGGGAUGAUUCUCAAAACCAUUAUGCUGAGAGCAAAAGAAGCUCGACACAAAGAGCUCACACUGUUUGAAUGCAUUUACAG